rnacentral:rRNA from 1 species
GAUCCUGGCUCAGGAUGAACGCUAGCUACAGGCUUAACACAUGCAAGUCGAGGGGAAACGACAUCGAAAGCUUGCUUCCGAUGGGCGUCGACCGGCGCACGGGUGAGUAACGCGUAUCCAACCUGCCCACCACUUGGGGAUAACCUUGCGAAAGUAAGACUAAUGCCCAAUGAUAUCCCACGAAGGCAUCCGAAUGGGAUUAAAGAUUUAUCGGUGAUGGAUGGGGAUGCGUCUGAUUAG